UGAUAGAGCACAUGUCACAUGGCUGAGUCAUUGACACUGCCAUGCUUUGUAGACUGAGUCAUACUAAUUGUCAGCAAGAGGAAGGAGGAAGAAAGACUGAGAGUGAUCCUACUCCUGAGAGGUUCUAGCUGAAAAUUAUCCAAACCAGUAUUAAUCAAAACAUGAAUGAAAAUUCAUUUCACAUUCCAAAGCAAGGAAUCCUGCUUUGGAAAGGCUGAAUGCUGGCAAGCAGGAACCAAGGUGUACGAGGAGAGCCCAGGGAGGAAGCUGACACAGCUCUCCGUUAUCCUGAGAACACGAUGUGGCCCUGCAUGCAUCAUUCACUUGCCUUCAAAAGGUGAAAUGAGGGGCAAGUGUUUUCCACUUUGUUACUUCACAAAACACAUGGAAAAGACACAGUCUUGUUCAGCCAAAGACAUGGGCUUUGGCAGUAUGGUUCUCUUGUUUCCACACACGCUCCCUGCCUCACUGUGGCAGCCACUAGAAUUAGCAUGCAGAAAUCAUGGGGGUGUUUGUCCCACAGGCCAGGCUAACUGACCUAAUUUUAAUCUAGCUGUUGGCUACCGAGAGCCUGGAAGCCACAGAGUGUGAAUUUGUGGGCCAGCCCUGUACUAACUCAGCUCACCUCAGUUAAAGAUAAUGCUGAUACAUCUGGGCUGCUGCCUAUGCAGUAGCUAAGACAAAGCUGUGUCCCCUGUAUAUUUGUAUGUCAUAGGCAGAUACCCAACUGCAGCACGUAUACACCCCAGCUCACCCACCUAUUAUUCCACAUAAACAGUUAGUGGUGCACCGACAGUCAUCAAAAAACAUACCUGCGCCCACAGGUACAGUAUAAAGUUGAAUAAUACCAAUUUCAUAGCUUGUUUUAAUAUCCAUAUUUCUUUAGCAAUUUACAUAGAGGUCAGAAUGGGUCCUAUGUUUACCCUUCCUCAGCAUUAGAACCGCUUUUGCUAAAUAAGAAAACACUAGUAUUUAAAACAACAUAACCUGAUAGAAAACAUCUUCAUCCCAUCUGGGCAGCAAUACCGAAUUGUAAAGACUUGCAAAGAAUAAAAACUAUGACUCACUAAUAUAAGUACAAAUCAGAUAACAUCUAAAAUGCAAGUAAAAGAAGGAAAUUAAAAUAAUUUGGUUGUGGAAAAAAAAGUACUUUUAAUACACCCAGAUUCUGAUAUUUAUCUUUGCUCUAUCUAGGAAAUACAAUCACUUUUCAACCCUAAUUUUGUUAUUUUUCACUCUUUUAACAUAAUCAGCUAUCUAAGGCUUAAGAUCUAUAGAACUAUUUCUAAUACAAAAGUAAUUUGGUGAAGGAGUAAAGUACCAUUGUGAAAUAUUAUGUAUUUUAAAAAUAUGUAUCAAAAGUUGUGUUUCACUUAGUGCAGCAGGAGUCGAACAGAGAGGUAAUAUGUUUCUUUUAGUACUUGCAAGUAAACUUUCCAGCUUAUUUGCUGUUCACAAGCUCUGUAUCUAAUCUUAGUUUUUCUCCCAGCCAGCUGUAAGCACUUCCCUGCCUGCCUCUGGGUAUUUCUUUGAUGCCUUUAUUAUGCUUCCUGUCAAACAGACAGGGAAUUCACCAAGCAACAGUCAGAAUCCUUUUGUAGUCAGACCCAAAGAAAUGCACUUGGCCACGUAGCUCCAAUUCUUCACCUGCCCUGCGUUUAACACAGCUCUGAUUAUUUCAGCUAUAUAUUCUACAAAGGAACAGAACUGUUUUUACGGUUUUCUGGCAUAAAAGGCUCCUUCUCUAUCUACAUGCUCCCCCUGUAUUAUGCAGAAAUCUGGUAAUUGUACUCUCCACUUACUUUACUUUUCUAAAAGAAAAACUGUUUAUAUAUCAAAUGGGAAAGAGCAUAGAGACUAUGCCUAAUCACCUGGCCUAAAUUUUAAUCUUAAAAUUUUGGCAUAGAUUGGAUUUUAAUGGUAUCUAUUUGGCAUUGGACAACUGUCAUCUUGAACUUGCUAUUUAUGAAAAUGAAACAGAAAAGUUUUAAAAGGUUCAAUUUAGUCUUUUAUUUAAAGAUAAACUGUUGUUCAUUAUAUUGACUUAGUAGUCUACAUAACUGUCUCAAGUUUAGAAAGGGAAGAGGGAAAAGUAGAUCCGAAAAGCUGGAAAAGUAAGAAAAAGGAAUACUGUACCAUGCCAGCAAAAACAAAAUAUGUUUUCUUUUUUAAAAUAAAUAUACAGUAAAUCCCAAAUGUGCAAUUAAGACUGUGGUCAUCACUAAAGGCCAAUUAUAUUUACUGAUUUCUCAUCCUUGGAUGAAUGUUACCACAGCCAUCUGAUGUUACUCAUAUUGCAUAAUGGUCAUAAUAGACUUCUUUCUUUAUCAACUUUAUCCAUUUAACCUCUACCUCUUUUCUUAUUCCUUCUUUCCUAUAUCACUUCCUUCUUUUCCACCUCUGAUGUUCUUUCCCUCUCUUUUCUCCUUUUGCUGCUUCCAUAUUCUUCUCUCCCCUCCCAUAUACAUCCUCACUGCUACUGAUGAUAUCCAUGCUGCUCACUAUCUGUGGAAAACUGCAUAGUCUAAAUACCUACUGGCAAUUUAAGGUGCUUGAAGGAAACCGAACUUCCCAGAGUACUGGCUGGUGGCAUCACCUCACAAAACACUAGGACCGGACGGCCAAGGGUGUGGGCAGCCCUGAGCACACCAGAGGCUCCUCACCAUGACCUUGGCCACCCCUGGCUGCCGCACAGCCUCCCUGGCUGCCAGGACUCUAGAAAUGCUUCACAGGCAAUUACGUCUGCUGCUGAGAAGCCACGCUGGCACACUUUCUAGACACAGAUCUUUCAUGGAAGGAACUGCCUAGAAUUGUACAGACUGCAAGGAGUUAAUAAACUGAAUGCUAUGCUACUAGAUUACUAAAAUUCUUAAGGUGUGUAUGUAGUUACUUGCAAAUGAAAAGCUUUUCCUAAGUGUUGAGAAAGUACUCUGAGUGAAAUUUUGAUAUAAUAAAAUCCUAGUCCUCUUC